rfam:TPA: Bos taurus chromosome 29, whole genome shotgun sequence.
UCCCAGGUGGCUCAGCUGGCAAAGAAUCCACCUGUAAUGCAGGAGACCUGGGUUCGAUCCCUGGCUUGGGAA